rnacentral:rRNA from 1 species
UACGUAGGGCGCAAGCGUUGCCCGGAAUUAUUGGGCGUAAAGAGCUCGUAGGCGGUUUGUCGCGUCUGCCGUGAAAGUCCGGGGCUCAACUCCGGAUCUGCGGUGGGUACGGGGCAGACUAGAGUGAUGUAGGGGAGACUGGAAUUCCUGGUGUAGCGGUGAAAUGCGCAGAUAUCAGGAGGAACACCGAUGGCGAAGGCAGGUCUCUGGGCAUUAACUGACGCUGAGGAGCGAAAGCAUGGGGAGCGAACAGG